ensembl:snoRNA U8 U8 small nucleolar RNA
UGGUCAGUCGGGUAUAUUCCCACCUGUUAUUCCAUUUAUGGAGAUGAACAGAGAUUAAUGAGAUAUGAUUAAUCUCUGGCUCAGAAAACAGUAACACUCUGAGAAACCCAUUCUGAG